UGUUGAGUUGCUAGUCAAGUCUGAUUUCUGUGUGUGAGUCCAUUGCAAGAGGAGGAGGAAGCAGUUUAAAGAAAGGUUCAGAGGUGGAGGAGAAACCCUCAAGACCUAAGGAUGACAAACAGAGACAGGAACUGAGGUCUGCUGGACCAUUGGGAAGACUUCAGUUCAGAGUGUGGGGCUGAUUUACACAAAUUGUGCCUGUUCUGCAAGGAUCUGAAUCCAUGAUUCCUCUCCCCACCUCCCCACCUGCCCCUCAACCCCCAACCAGGAAUGGCCACAAUGUUCUACCAACAUCAUGAGCCAAGCAAUUAUGUCUGAAACAAUGCUCUGAGCACAAGAAUGGGAAGAGUUCCAACACUAACA